rnacentral:misc_RNA from 1 species
AUGCUCACAAACAUCGCCAAUCAAAGGCAUCAUCAUCUUCCACUAUGGAAUAUUCUACUACUUCAGGCACAUUCUAACCAGCUACAUCUGUCGCCAGAGACAUUCCAUCUCUGUGUUUGGUGUAUCUUCAUUAAUCCUGAUUGCCAGAGGAUAAUUGCGAAGGGUCGCUAGACAUCAACAGGGUUCGUUUUGAGAGGAAGUGCCAUGGUACAGUGUUCCUGGGCUUCAGAUGGGAGUAGCAAAGAAUCAACUCCCAGGACUGCCGUACAGAUUAUUUAUCAUCCCUACACUGUCUUUAAUAUUAGGCCAAGAAGAUCCGGAACACUUUUCACUCUGCCCAGUUAGAGCUCUCAAGAUCUACCUUCAAACAUCAAAAGAUCUGAUACGAUCACAUAAAAGCCCUACAACUGAAGAAGGCAAGCCAGUCAAAGAUACUCCUGAUUUACUGACAGAGAGCAAUUCCAAUGCCAACUCAAGUUUAGGAAUGAGUGACAAAAGCCCUGAUCCUGGUGGUUCAGAUGAAACAACUAGAGGAACCAUCACGGAGUCAGGAAAUGUAUUAACGCAAGAAACAGAUCAAAGUGCUGAAAACAGUGUUGAAUUCAAAGUGAUAUUUAACAAGCAGAAAUAUGAUGUGAAUUUUCCGCUUGAUAGUACAGCAUCCCAGCUCAAAGCUCAUGUACAGUCUCUAACAGGUGUUCCAGCAGCCAUGCAGAAGUUGAUGUAUAAAGGUUUAAUAAAGGAUGACAUGACAUUAAAAGACUUGAAAAUUACAAAAGGAGCAAAAGUGAUGGUAGUUGGUUCUACGUUAAAUGAUGUUUUGUCUGUAAGUGCCCCAAGUAAAAAAGAGAUACAAGAAGAAGCUGCUGCAUCUACUGAAUCUAAACAACCUCUGUGUCAGCAAAAGUUGCACAAAAAGGUUUUAGAAAAGCAUGGUAAACCUGAUGAUGCAAUGCCUGGCAUUAAGAAUGUACGAGAGCCUUUACCAUCAUUCCCUCUGUCUGGUAUGUACAACAAGGCUGGAGGAAAGGUCCGUCUCACUUUUAAACUUGAACAAGAUCAGUUAUGGAUAGGAACCAAAGCAUUGUGACUACCUCACUUGCUUUCUCUAUUCUCCGACCACUGCCGUGUAGUUUGUCAUCACCUAUGGUUCAUUUGUCCAGCCAUAGAGCAUACUUCGAGAUAGAACAGACAAAAUACCUAUGAAUUCCAUCAAAACUAUAGUUAGUGAAGCUUUAGAUGGUCAUGAAGAAUAUCACAUGAUGGGAAUCCAGUUAGGACC